CCUCUCGACCUCUUGUUUUUGUAGGAUCAGGUGGAGCCCAUGUCUGGAAUGAGCUUAUUGGCUGGGAAGGCGCUAAGCUCCGCCCGCAUGUCGGACAUCCUCAGCCAAUCGUCUCUGACAGGAAGCCAGCAGCUGCAGCAGAGGGAGGGGUCAGCGUGUGACGUGGAGGCAGACGUUCACCCCGCCGCGUGCUACCCUUCCUCCUGCACCAGUGACAUGCUGCUAAGCUACAAAACCCCGGAUCUGCAGUACAGCGUGGAGCAGGCCGGGGUCUAAUGAACACAGGGGUGUAUUUGCUGUAUAAAGCUCAUAUCCGUCUGCUGUGUUGUGCUGUCAUGCCAAAUCCUCAUCGUCUGUCUGUUGGGGUGUCGUGGGUGUGGCCUGCACGCAGGGGGCAGAGCUCCUGGCUUCCUCUUCCGCUGGGAGCGUCUCCAAUUGGCUGCAGCCCAGUAAUCAUCCGAAACCCCUCCUACCGUUGCCAUAGCGGUGCUGUCGCGCACUCCGAUGUACAAGGCAAACACAGAGUCUUACGUAAACACACACACACACACACACGAAGAGACGUCUUUACCAAACACCACAAACCCAAAGUAUUUCACGUGAAGCCUGCGCCGCGGCGGAUCAUUCCGGUCACGAUCGACCUCUUCCGCCGGGACAGUCGACUCUCACUCGCUCUCCACUUUCUUCACUUCUGUUUUUAUUUUUAACGCAUUUUUAUGGCUAAUGUUCUGUAGGAAUAAUGCUCAUUAUUGUUCUUGUUUUCUGUAAAAGACGUUUUAUGGUUAUGACAUUAUUAAAAGAAUGACGAUUAUUAUUAAAACCGCUCUGUGUUGCAAGAGAACAGCCGCGUUUGUUUCCUCACGGUGAUUUUUGCACUUUCAGUUUUUGUGACUUUCCUUUCGGUUUCGCUCUUCCUCCCUGUUUCUCGUUCUCCUCCUUCAUUCCGUCCGUCCGUCUGACGACAGGUGCAUUGUGGGUAGUUUCUCAGAUCCUUCUCAUGGGCCAUCUUCUUUUCUGUUUCAGAGCUUUAUCGGUUAUUUUUUGUGGAUGUUGUUGGGAAAGCUUUUGUAUAUUGUUGAUUUUGCGGUUUUAUUUCUGUUCUGAUGUCAUGUCGGAUGGACGCUUCGUUUCACAUCUCGCUCUGAGUUUAAAGCCCAAACGCGCCCAAAUUGGACGAUUUUUCAGUCUGACCAAUCCAAUAACUGUCAUGUGAUCGUCUGAGAGACGGGUGCGAGUCUGUGAUGAAGAGCACCAUCAUCUGUUUGUGUCACGCUCCUCCCUCUUGUCCUUUAUAGAGCUUUGUCAUUUUCUUUUGUUUUGUUUAUUUUUGGCUUUAUGUUUUUGGAAAAAUACUAAAGUGCAACAACAAUGGUUAAAAAAGAUUCCAAACAAACUGAGAGAAAUAAUAAAUAUAUAUAUAAAUAAAGAAAUGACUAUGA